CUUCACUAGAUACUCUGGUAUGUAGAUGCAGAUAGAGUGGCAGGACUGGUGCCACUGGCCUGAGGAGCCAGCCUUAUUUAGUAUCCAGCCUUCCAUAUCAUUCAGAGAGAGUAAUCCGAGCUCCUUAGGUUUUGCUUCUUUAAGACACCUGCCCCUGGUCAUGGAAGACUCAAAUGUCAGCAGGCCAGGACAGAGAAUAAAUACCUUUCCAGUCUCUCUAUUUGGCAAGCUAUUCUUCAGCUCCCCUCUUGUUUUCUGAGUCUUAUAGGUGUAUUCCUUGAAGCCAGGAAGGGUGUCAGACAAAGGAAAACACAAUAAAAGACUCCAGGUUGGAAGGACAAGUGCCUUCAGGGGCCUGAAUAAGGAAGUUUGCAGCCUACGCUGAAGAAAAGCUAGAAUGAUGCUGGCAGCAGUGUUAUCUCUCACAGAGCACUGCAAACCCAAGGGUGUGGUGACAUGCUGCUGACAGUGUGCAGGUUGCCUGUGGGCAGAAGGACAGGACUGGGGCAGGAGGCCACAGCAGGAGCAUCCUGACUUGCAUAGAACAGGGCACAUCCUCAGCUGUCAGUCUGCCCAGGUCCAGAGGCACCACCAGGCCUGAAGCAGCCUUUACCAUAACGCAGAUGAAGUUAGGGGUGGAGUGGCCUCUGAGGAGGGAGAAGGAAAACGGGAAGUUACUUUUUUGCCACCUUCUCAUGUCUAGUCUAGUUCAGGCAAUGACAAGCAUGAUAAGACAUAGCACAGCAGAAACCUUUUCUUUACCCUUCCUACGAUUUUGAUACGCCAAAUCACUCUGAGCUGCAGUACCCAAGAAACCUAUGUAUUACAUGUUGCACUGUCCCACUCAGUUUCUACUCUGAUCCUGCCCUCUGAUUUCAGCCUUGAAUUGCAGAGUGAAAAGAAGUUCAGUUUCCACAAUUCCCUCCACCAUUUCCUUUGCUAAGCUCAUUAGCUUCAUAAGACCGGAAUGAGACCACUAAGUCAUUUCCCACAGGCUGCUUAGCUGCGAUCAGAAAAGCAACAAUGACUGAUUUGGGCUGGAGUCGAACCAAAGAGCCCAUUCCUUCACACACUGUCCAAUCCAUCUGCUGAAAAUUAUUCCACACUGCACACACAAGGGCAGAAAUCCUGCUUUAAAACAUAUAUUAGGUUCCAUUUAUGUGAUUUGCCUAUGUAUUCCCAGGCUUUCCAGGAUUUUAAUUUUCCCCCUGGCUAUCUGAAUUCCAGAUUUUGUGGAAUAAAUCCCAAUGAAGUGUUGAUUCGUUAACAGAAACAAGAUUAGAUUUAAGGAAAAAAAAAAAGGAAUUUGCAGAAUAGAUACUAUCCUGCCAUUGUUCUACAAAACAGAACAAGGUUUUAAAGCUGAUAAGGA